AAAUUAUAAUACACUGUAAUAAAUAUUAUUUAAAAUUUAUAAAUUUUAUAUUUCUGGAAUUUUCCAUGUAAUCUUUUCAGACUGGAGUUGACCACAUGUAACGGAAACCAUGAAAAGUGAAGAUAUGGGUGAGAGGGUGGGGCCUACUACAUUUAUUUUAUACUCCAUACUUCUCUGAUCCAUGUGUUUUCCUCUCAAAAUCCAUUUCUUUAAAAAGUGAAUCUGUUGGAUAUGUGAAAGAACAACAUAUAGAGUACCACAUAAACAAGACAGUAAGUUUCUAAGAGAAACUCAAUUUCUACAGAGGCUCCAAAUUUCUGCAUUCACUCAACAAAUAUUUUCUGAGGGUUAAGUGUGUGUUAGGUAGUCAUAUAGCUAAUAAAUACAAUAUAAUGAGUUAGAUUUGGCUCCUGCCCUGGGAAGCUUCAUACCAUACCAUACACACACUGCCAGAAAAAGAAGAAGGCUUAGCAAGAUUAUAUCUGGGCCAGUGCUUAGGGAUUGUGCAUGCAAAUUAUAUAGGCAAAUUAUAUAUACAAUCUGUAUACUAUAUAAAUAAACUUGUAUAUAACAUUAUGUACAUUGUAUAUAAGAUCCAGUUAUUGUUUGGUUGUUUGGUCGGCUUUUGGCUGCCCUUGAACUCACUAUGUAACCUGGGCUGGCCUCCAACUCAGGGUGAUCCUCCUACCUCAGCUUCCCUGAGAUUACAGGCAGGUACCACCACACCCAACCACAAAAUCCAGCUUUGUUUUUCAUUCAAAUACAGAGUGAGUAUAUAUUUUUGAAAUAUUAGUCUCAGUUGACAAUGUCUUUAAAAUUAUUUUCUUCAUCUAAUUUAUAUAAACCUUAUGGGAACAUCAAUAUUCUAAACACUUUUCUUAAUUUGAUCUGUGUAAGUCUUAUGGGAAAUUAGUAACAUUCUGUGGGUGGAGGAUAGAAUAAGAAAGAAAUGUGAAGAAGAGGGAAGAAUGAAUCCCUACAGUCCUGAGGCGGUGAGAAGGUGACAGACUCUAGAGGUCUAUCAGAGCAGUUGGAAUAUAUACGUGGAAUUAUGCCAAGUAAGCUAGAGUUACAGAAAAGCAAGAUACAGACGGAGUUCUAUAGAAAAUUAAUGACCUUACCAUUUCUGCUGACAAUCUGUAGCAUUAGAAAAUAAAGUGUUUUCUGCUGAUUCUCUCUCUCUUUUUUUUUUUUUUCAUAUCAGGGAUCGAACUCAGGACCUUGUGCUUGGAAGGCAGGAGGUGGAACCACUGAGCUAGAUCCCUGGCCCUAAUAAAUUGUUUUCUGGACAAAUGGUUUUCUAUAAAUAAAGUUAGCCUUAUACUAGGUUCAAGGUGCAACCAUGCAAAUAGAGUGUUUCCAAAGUUUGGAGUUUCCAGUUGUUGGCACCAUAGGACACAAUUUCUUGGAGAAGCAAUGUAGCAAGUCUUCAGUUUCUAACUAAGGCAAAAGUUGAGGGAACUCAGAUUUGCGGCAUGUGCCCCUCUAUAGGUAUUUUCAUUUAAUCCCACCACCAUCUAGCACUGCAAUUUCCACAGGAGGAAACUGAGGCCCAGAGUAUAGCAGUGAGUUGCUCAAGGUCAGCAAGAGGUCAAACUACCUUUUUUUUUUUUUUUUUUUUGGUACCAGGGAUUGAACUCGGGACCUUGCGCUUCUGAGGCAGGCAGCGGAACCACUGAGCUAAAUUCCCGGCCCCCAAGCUACCAUUUUUAUCAAAGCUAAAGUUUGAGAACCAGGAAAGAGGGUUGAUAAAACUACCAGAUGUAGUAAAUUUACACAAAGUUUUGCUUGGCUAAUAUGAGCCAUUUUAAAAGAUAAUGAUAAUUCAUUGCAAGCAAUUGCUAAUGCACAUACCUUAAGGAGGUAUCAUGUACUUUAUGUCCUUUGCUGGCAUCAGCAAUUUUUAGUUUGUAGAAGAUUUUCUCUGAGGUUCACUAUUCUAAAAGUUGUUGUUUCAACUUCCUUUAUUCCCCUUCUGAAUCUCAAGUGGUUAAACUGGAUUUGCUGUCACUGUCAUCCUCUUAAGAACUCCCACAAGUGGGCUUCAGAGAGUGGCAGGGUUCACCGGGGUGCUUUGUAAAGCAAGGUCAUUUGUUAAGUCAUGAAUUCUUGAUUCCAUAGCUGUCAGGAUAUUUGCCUGACUUUUCAGACAACUCAAGAGAUUCUGGAGAAAAUGCACAUUUGUAUUCAAAACCACUUCAUAUGUGAAAACCUCAAUGAUAAAGGUGAUUAAUUGCAAAUAUGAGGAGGUAUGCCAGUGUGAUAGCCUCACAGCUGCAGAGGAAGACCUAGGGAGCCAAAGUUAUUGUUUAAUGUUGUUUUACAUUAAAGUAGAUAAAGUUCGAGCCAGUGUUGCAUCCCGUGUGUGUGUGUGUGUGUGUGUGUGUGUGUGAGCGCGCGCGCGCGUGCAUAUAGGCCCCUGCUUUCUCCAGAAUCCCCCUCCUACCUCUGCCAAUGCCAUCUCAUCUAUUAAUCCUCUCUCUUGUUUCUUCCUGUCUAGGGAUUAAAUGUCAUGGACAAGAUUGACUCAGCUCAGUCAGCCAUGGUGAAUCCAGAUUGCAGGGCUACUUGGGAUAAGAGGUACAUAUCAAGCCAGCAUGAGACCAUCAGCCAAAUGGUAGUUUUGUUUUGUUGUCCUUUUGAGACAGGGUCUUGUUUUGUAGUUCAGUCUGUCCCUGAACUCACUAUGUAUCCCAGGCUAGGCUCAAACUCAUGGCAAUCCUCCUGGCUCUUCCUCCCAAGUGCUGGGAUUAUAGGCAUGCACCAGCACGCCCAACUCUAAAUGAUAGUUUUUAAAAGCUUGUGUGAUGUGUAUGUUAUGCAUGUGUCCCUCUACAUUUAGAGAUGCUCCGUGAUGAUGCAGUCCACACAAUGUCACACACUAAAAAUUAAAGACUAGAUAUUAUAAACUUCUAAGAUACACUUAUAGACAUGUGCAUUCUUCUCCAAUGGCAUCCUAUUAAAACAUAACAAAUUACAUGAGAGUUUCUUUGUAUCAUUUAAUAUCUUGUGAUCAGAUGGAGAUGAUUGACUAAGAAGCUUAUUUUAUACUAAGACGGACAUUUAAAUGUGUUUCAAAGAUAAUGUGAUUGUCAUGCUAUGUGUGUCACUUGAUCCCAAGUUUUCUCUGUAAAACUUCAAAAUUGUUAUCUGUUAGCAUUCUACAGGGAUUCAACUUCUAAGACAACCUGAUUGGUAAGAAAAUAACAGUCCUCUGGCUAUACUUUAUACUUCAAAGUGCUUGAUACCCAGAUGAGAUUAUAAUAGUUAAGCUCACUGCUCACUUCAGUACUAGUGUAACUGACCUUCUGGCUGUUCAACAACUAAGGCUUGGGGGCCAAAGUUAAAAGGUAAUUUGGCUUAAAAGGUAGCCAAUAGUUUGGCCCUGACCCUCCAAGGUCAAAAAGGACCCAGAACAUGAGAGAACCUCUCUACAGGAUCCUACAACUUUGACGAGUCACCCAACCUCCUGAGCAAGGAGAUAAUUGGACCUCAAAGAACGGGAGUCAACCAAUGCACAGUGUGUCCAAAAGGAGGGUCACCAAAGAGGAAAAGUCUUCCAUCCUGUUACAUGCAUGGUCAACCAAGACCAUGACCCAUUCUGGUGGCUAACAUUGACAAAGGAGCUGAGAGGCCCUGUACACGGUUCCAAAAGUAAUGCCUGAGGCAAUGCAACUGACCUUGAUAGACAGCAAGGUAUAAAUUUUGGUUGACACAAGUCUCUCUUUAUCCCGGUCUUGAACAUCCAACAGGGAAAUAUAAAAGACGUAUAAAAGUAUUAACAAUAUAGGCUGAACUAAAAGGGGACUCCAAUCACUGCCUCCUGCUGACAGUUUCUAACUAUAUCUGUAGGCAAUUCUAGGAGCCAAAUGGUUACAAGUGGUAUUCCAAUCUCUUAAGAACAGCAUCUGAUACGGCUCAUUCCCUAAUCUGACUUUCCAUUGCGAGAUAUCGUGAGGCCUGAGUGACUCCAUUUUAAAAUUUGGCCCCAUCUUAGAGUGAGGUGGCCUGGACAUAAACUCUAGUUCCAAGAAAAACCACAAGAUGUACUUUGGCCACCUGCCUGUGAUAAUGUUCAGCAGUCCCCUAGCAACUAGCCUAGCAACAGCUAAUCAGUAGCUGCCCCAAUGUCCCAGAUGCUCUUCUCGAUGGCUUGCAACAGCUAAUCAGUAGUUACCCCAAUACCCCAGUAUCCCAGAUGUUCUUUUUGAUGACUUGAGCCACCGUUUGCAGUUCAGCACGCAAGGCAUAGCCAACCAGGUUUAAAUUUUCAAAACUUGCUAAAUGCUAGCCAAUCGUGUGAUUUGCGUGUGAUUUGCGUGUGAUUUGAAACCCCGCGCCUUUUUGAAAAAACCGCGCCUUGCUCUAACCUCUAUAAAAACCCCUGGUGUUUUAGAGUCGGGGCUCUCAACCCUGACCCGCUGCGUCGGUGUCGGAUGAGAGUCCCUGCUCGAGCUUGAAUAAACGACCCUCGUGUGUUUGCAUCGGAA